GCUGGGCCCAGUGGUGUGCACCUGUAGACCUAGCUGUUUGGGAGGCUGAGGCAGGAGGAUCACUGGAGCCCAGGAGUUCUGGGCUGUAGUGUCCUAUGCCAAUUGGGUAUCAGCACUAAGUUCAGCAUCAAUAUGGUGACCUCAUCUGGGUACAGUGGCUAAUGCCUAUAAUCCCAGCAUUUUAGGAGGCCAAGGUGGGAGGAUCACUUGAGCCUCAGAAUUCGAGGCUGCAGUGAGCUAUGACCAUGCCCACUGCACUUCAGACUUCAGCCUGGGCAACAGAGGCCCUGCCUCUUAAAAAAAAAAAAGAAAGAAAGAAAAACAUGGUGUCCUCCUGGGAGUGAAAGACCAGCAGGUUGCCUACAAAGGGGUGAACUGACCCAGGUUGGAAACUGAGCAGGUCAAAACUCCUGUGCUGAUUAGUAGUGGGAUUGCACCUUUGAAUAUCCACUGCACUGUAGCCUGGCCAACACAGUGAGACCCCAUGUCUA
rnacentral:SRP_RNA from 1 species